AGUCUAGAAUUGCUUAGCGGUUUAAAAAGGCAGAUAACACAGAUAAAUAAAUGUGCCAUACUCAUGAGUAUAGUGUUUUUACAUGAAACAUUUUCUCAGGCAGCAAUACAUUAAUUCUUACAUGUGCCUCAAAAGUAGAGUGCAAUAAACUCCAAAACCCUUUGAAAUGCAUUGGAGGUUACCUUUUUUCUUUGUGUUCUAUGAGGUAGGCUGCUAGAGAUAAAUGAUCUUGUCUGCAUUUGCGCUUUAUUAUACAUGUUGGGAAAGUUUUGCCACUGUAUUGUGUGGGGUGAGGCUAUCGUAUGGCACACAUGACAUCUAGUAAUCUAACAUACUUUAUUCACUUGAUAAGCUAGAGCAGUUUUACAUAGACAUUUUUCUACUUUGUAUGUCUGCCUAAGUCAUUGUGACAAUUUUCCCAACUUCCUCUAGAGACAUGUAAGCAUUUUUUUUUGCUUGUACCCGCCCAUAUGUUUGGCUUAAAAAGCAACUUCAUAUUUAGCCAUAUUUGUGUUGUAUGCCUUUAAUGUGUGCGCUGAAGUUGUUUCCCAAUUUUCCUUUGACACAUUUAAGACCUACUGUGAAAUACGCGCUGAUUCCUCAUUUGUCCAUAUCAUUCAGCUGUGUUACUGGCAUAAAAUGAAGAAAAACUUAAAUGCCCAUACUUUCAUACACGUAAUUAAGUAUUUAAAUAAACCAUAGUGGCAAUGAUUUAA